UAAUACGAAGGGGGCUAGCGUUGCUCGGAAUUACUGGGCGUAAAGGGCGCGUAGGCGGAUAGUUUAGUCAGAGGUAAAAGCCCAGGGCUCAACCUUGGAACUGCCUUUGAUACUGGCUAUCUUGAGUUCGGGAGAGGUGAGUGGAAUGCCGAGUGUAGAGGUGAAAUUCGUAGAUAUUCGGCGGAACACCAGUGGCGAAGGCGACUCACUGGCCCGAUACUGACGCUGAGGCGCGAAAGCGUGGGGAGCAAACAGG
rnacentral:rRNA from 1 species